CGUUGUGGACCCACCUGAUUCCAUGCCGAACUCAGAAGUGAAACGCAAUAGCGCCGAUGGUAGUGUGGGGCUUCCCCAUGUGAGAGUAGGACAUCGCCAGGC
rnacentral:rRNA from 1 species